rnacentral:lncRNA from 1 species
CGAUUUUAGUUUUCCAAGUGUAUUAAGUCCUCUCAUUUACUCACUGCUUUUGUUUAACUUCUUGCUUAAAAUUUCUCAAGUAAAGGGAUUGAAUGAAUGAUGUUGAUUUUUGUUUACUUAUCAAUCCAUGAGGGUACGAAUUUGUGGAAGUAGUUUUUCUCUCUUAAGUUUUCUCUAUUGUGGUCUUACCUUGUUUAGUUUCUUCGUAGCUUCCUAGUUUGUUGUUUUCAUCUAAUAUCUCAUGAAUUGGUUGUACAUUUGAGCAUAAACUGAUCGAUUCGGUCUAGGCAAAGUUUGAAUAUUUAGUAUGUGAUCCCUUCACAAUAAACAUGUUCUUAUUACCUUGGUUUGUGCUCCAAAUAUAUUACUCCCUUGCUGUCUUUUCUUUUAAAAUUUAAUGUUAGAACAGGUUUGAAUGCAUUAAAAGAGCCUUCAUCUUCUUUGUUGUUUAUGGGUGUUCACUGGAAAGUAGAAAUUCAUGUUGAAAUAGUAGGUAAUGUGUUUUACUUGUUAAAGUUGAAGUUUAAGGCAAUUUCACCGUAUUGCUAGUCAUUUGGA